rnacentral:rRNA from 1 species
AUUGAACGCUGGCGGCAGGCCUAACACAUGUAAGUCGAGCGGAUGAAGGGAGCUUGCUCCUGGAUUCAGCGGCGGACGGGUGAGUAAUGCCUAGGAAUCUGCCUGGUAGUGGGGGAUAACGUCCGGAAACGGGCGCUAAUACCGCAUACGUCCUGAGGGAGAAAGUGGGGGAUCUUCGGACCUCACGCUAUCAGAUGAGCCUAGGUCGGAUUAGCUAGUUGGUGGGGUAAAGGCCUACCAAGGCGACGAUCCGUAACUGGUCUGAGAGGAUGAUCAGUCACACUGGAACUGAGACACGGUCCAGACUCCUACGGGAGGCAGCAGUGGGGAAUAUUGGACAAUGGGCGAAAGCCUGGUCCAGCCAUGCCGCGUGUGUGAAGAAGGUCUUCGGAUUGUAAAGCACUUUAAGUUGGGAGGAAGGGCAGUAAGUUAAUACCUUGCUGUUUUGACGUUACCAACAGAAUAAGCACCGGCUAACUUCGUG